GGGGGGAUGCCCGAGUGGUUAAAGGGAGCAGACUGUAAAUCUGCCGGCGAACGCCUACGGAGGUUCGAACCCUCCUCCCCCCACCA
rnacentral:tRNA from 3 species